rnacentral:sRNA from 12 species
CCUUCGGAGUGCCAAACAAGUCGGAGUAGGUAGCAAUAAGCCCAAACGAGGCACGUUGAACAAGGAA